UUCCCUUCUCCCACCUCUUUUCUUUCCACCUCAUUACCAUCUUGUUUCUCAGGAUGCUGAUUCAGUCGCAGACCAAUUUCAGCUGCAUUUUAUUACUGAAAUCCUCCUCUUGCAAAGGAGGAAAUUGAAAGUGAAACAUAACCUGGUGUUCCCAGCCAUGUUGGCUCAGGCGCCGGAAAGAGCAUCUUCAGACCACCUCACUAUCUAGCAAGAGUUUCUGGUGACCAGGAUGACACCUGCUGGGACACCUUACUCACUCCAGCAUCUGCAGACGGGAUCCUGGGAGAACCAGCAGAAGUUGCCAAAGAGUGAGAAUUCUCACCAAAAAAUUGUCAGCAAGAAAGAUACCUUAAGAUGAUGAAUGAGAAAGAAGAAAAAACUUAGGAGAAAAUCUGAAUGGAUGUAAGAGAGUUACAGAAAGUUUCUAUGAAAGAAAUGCUGGGAAAGAAAUUUGAUGUGUGGUCAAGCUGACUAAGAUUGGGAUGAAUUUAAGUUUUUAAAGGAUGAAUUUUAAUAUCACAAGCACACUGGUGCAAAUCAGAAUUUGGUUUCCUGUCUGUUAAAAGGACAAAGUUUUCUUAGAUUAUUGGUCUGUUCUUAAGAUGAAAUUGUAACUAAAGAUUUUUGUUUACCUUUUAGUAAUCUGCCUGGACAGCAAAGAUUUUGUGUCUUACCAAAAUAAGUUACUGUGUUUCAUGUUGUCCUUAUCAGGUCUUUGAUUACUUAAGAAAAGCCAGUCUUCUCACUACUAAAGGAACUAAGUUUUGCUCACAACUAUGUAACCUUUCGUGUUUGCCUUUAACAUCUUCUACUGUCACUUUAGUUAAAUAGAUAACUAAGUAUUAUUUCACAAUGAUCUGUGAUCCUGAUUAAGCAAAUGUUCAAACCUUUUGACAUUUUCUCAAAAUCAAAUUCUAACUGGAGUCUUUUUGACCUUAAACCAACUUUGAGAUUUCCCAGAGGGCCUGUGGAAAAUAUCAAAGAUUUUGUCUCUCAUCUUGUAAAAGAUUGAUGUUAAACUAAUUAGAUUUAUUUGGUUUGUUAAAUUACAUGGAAAGCAUGGUCAAAUAAGUGAUGAUAAAUGUUCUUAGGUUAUGUUUGCAUGGAUGCAUGUUAGGAAUAUAAGUAUUCUUGAAAUUCCUAAAAAUCUAAUAU
rnacentral:lncRNA from 1 species